rnacentral:rRNA from 1 species
UGGGGAAUUUUGCACAAUGGGGGAAACCCUGAUGCAGCGACGCCGCGUGAUCUAGAAGGCCUUCGGGUUGUAAAAAUCUUUUCUAUGGGAAGAAAAUGACAGUACUAUAGGAAUAAGGACCGGCUAAUUACGUGCCAGCAGCCGCGGUAAUACGUAAGGUCCGAGCGUUGUCCGGAAUCAUUGGGCGUAAAGGGUACGUAGGCGGGUAAGCAAGUUAGAAGUGAAAUCCUAUAGCUCAACUAUAGUAAGCUUUUAAAACUGCUCAUCUUGAGGUAUGGAAUGGAAAGUGGAAUUCCUAGUGUAGCGGUGAAAUGCGCAGAUAUUAGGAGGAAUACCGGUGGCGAAGGCGACUUUCUGGCCAUAACCUGACGCUGAGGUACGAAAGCGUGGGUAGCAAACAGG